UUGAACGCUGGCGGCAUGCCUUACACAUGCAAGUCGAACGGUAACAGGUCUUCGGAUGCUGACGAGUGGCGAACGGGUGAGUAAUACAUCGGAACGUGCCCGAUCGUGGGGGAUAACGCAGCGAAAGCUGUGCUAAUACCGCAUACGCCCUACGGGGGAAAGCGGGGGAUCUUCGGACCUCGCGUUAUUGGAUUGGCCUAUGUCUGAUUAGCUAGUUGGUGAGGUAAAGGCUCACCAAGGCUUCGAUCAGUAGCUGGUCUGAGAGGAUGAUCAGCCACACUGGAACUGAGACACGGUCCAGACUCCUACGGGAGGCAGCAGUGGGGAAUUUUGGACAAUGGGCGAAAGCCUGAUCCAGCCAUUCCGCGUGAGUGAAGAAGGCCUUCGGGUUGUAAAGCUCUUUCGGCAGGAACGAAAUGGUCACGGUUAAUAACCGUGACUUCUGACGGUACCUGAAGAAGAAGCACCGGCUAACUACGU
rnacentral:rRNA from 1 species